CUUUGUGACUCAUACCACUGUUGCCUCGGCGCUGCUGGCCCUAGGGUCUCCCACCACGGUGGGAAAAAAGCACGCCGGUGGCCAA
rnacentral:rRNA from 1 species